GAACCCUUUUACAUACAGUCAAAUAUUCUUGAUAUUGCAAGGAAAUAUAAUGCAUUUUUCAAGUGCUUGCUGUUUCUUAUGUUUUGCAUACUUGAUUUAGGUCAUUGUCAAUGUCAACUAUCAUUAUACUGACAUUUGAAGUUGUUGUUAUUUUCUAAAUUACCUCCCUUAUAUAUGCAUUUUUCUUCAUUCAUUUUAUUGAUAAUUACUUCCCUUUAUGUUUAGCAAAAAUUCUCAGAUUGCAUUUAAUUAACUCCCUUUAUUUAACAUGAAAAAAUUCUCUUGUGUAAUGAUUAUUUGUAUGUUUUACUUACAGUGCCUGAUACAUGUAGUUGCAGUCUGUCUUUGGAAGCUGUAGAAAUAACAAGAAAGAGGCUGACAUAGUGUUUUGGUAGGGAAAAGUUGUUUGAGUAUGUAAAUGUACAGUUGUUUGACCUGUCUUACCCUGUGGCAGUCCAAGAAGAUGUUACCAUUAUGAAAAAUGCAGGAGAACUUGAAGACAAUUGUUAGUGCAGAAGGGACAUAAAAGUUAUGACAAAAGUAACAGAUAUAAAUAAGAAGUGCUACAAGUGUGUUGUCAUGUGAAAUGGAAUUUACCCCAAUUGUGCUGCAAGAUGUAUAUUCAAGUGCAAGACAGCCCUGCACCAGCUGUAAACUGAGAUGGACCCAUAUAAUAAAUAUGUUGACUUUUCUAUGUAUUAUCAUCUGUACAGAAUGUUUUUCAUGACAAG